GUUUACUCACUAACUACAGCUUGAUGGAAGAAUUGAUUGCUAGCAAAAAAACUGUAACCAAAAUUGUUUCUGGUGCACCAAAUGUUUUACCUAGGAAUGUUGUAACUUGCUAGACAUCCAACGUCUUAUGAUGAACUUUUACAGAAGAUCCUUUUGGUUCUAGAUGGAACAACUAGGUUGCAUAUGCUUCCACAAGCAAAAGGGAGUUCAAUGAGGCAGUUGGAAUAACUGGUUUG